GUCUACAGCCAUGCCACCCUGGACAUGUCCGAUCCCAUCUGAUUCGGAAGCUAAGCAGGGUUGAGCCUGGCUAGUACUUGGAUGGGAGAACACCUAAGAAGACCAGGUGCUGUAGGUG
ensembl:rRNA 5S_rRNA 5S ribosomal RNA